GAUGAACGCUGGCGGUAUGCUUAACACAUGCAAGUCGAACGGACUCUUCGGAGUUAGUGGCGGACGGGUGAGUAACGCGUGAGAAUCUGGCUUUGGGUUCGGGACAACCACUGGAAACGGUGGCUAAUACCGGAUGUGCCGAGAGGUAAAAGAGAAAUUGCCUGAAGAUGAGCUCGCGUCUGAUUAGCUAGUUGGUGAGGUAAAGGCUCACCAAGGCAGCGAUCAGUAGCUGGUCUGAGAGGAUGACCAGCCACACUGGGACUGAGACACGGACCAGACUCCUACGGGAGGCAGCAGUGGGGAAUUUUCCGCAAUGGGCGAAAGCCUGACGGAGCAAUACCGCGUGAGGGAAGAAGGCUCUUGGGUUGUAAACCUCUUUUCUUAGGGAAGAAUAAAAUGACGGUACCUAAGGAAUCAGCAUCGGCUAACUCCGUG
rnacentral:rRNA from 1 species